rnacentral:sRNA from 1 species
CUGACAGCCACAAAGACUAAAGCCUUUUUUAUUAUUAUUAUUAUUCACAGAAUGUGUACAGCAUGGACAGCAACAGGGAAAUGCCUCUAUCUCCAUACAGCCCUGCCAAUGUCUCAGAGCUGAUCCGGAGUGACCACGUCUACUGGGGAGAAGAUAAUUCAGUGUCCAUGCCUAUUCAAAUACUUCAACUCU